UACACUGUUAAAUGUUUCCGUUAAUUUACACCCAAAUUUCAACAUGAUUUACCUGUUAUUUGUAAUAACUGCAGCUUACUGUAAAUUUUUAGGGAAUACAUGUUAAAUAACGCCUCGUGUAUGUUAUUUAACACCUCAUUGCUAAAUAACAUUCAUUUUUGUUAUUUAACAGCACAACCGAACAUUCAAAGAUGGCGGCCAGAGUUAGAUGGUCUGGUAUGGUUUUGUAAGUUGCAAAACAAUGACUAAUUCAAUAUUGUCGAUGUUGCAUACUAAGAAAUUAAAUAUUGUAUGCAUUCACUGAAUGAAGGUUAGACAGAACACCACGUGAUUUCUGUACUGCAAAUGUUAUAAAGAAUCAUCUUGCUUUUAUUACCAUAAUCAUACCUCCCGAUUUUAAACGAGACACCUAACAUUUAAUUGACUAACUGCGCUCCAAAUCUGUGUGUGUAGAUGUGUGUGUGUGUGUCUUUCUGAUCACGUUCGCGCCACUUUCUGAAAUAACAGGUUCAUACAGUAUUUUUUGCAUUCUGGCAAAGAGCGAGUAAGAAGGCAUUUGAACCUGCAACGCAACGGACACACGGCCAUUCCAUGUCGGAGAAUCGCUCUGGUUACAUCGAGGAAAACCACAACAAUCCGAUGCAGAUGCAGGGCACUAUCCCUGAUCACACUGCUGAUCAAGAAGAUCUCACUGCAUGUAUCCCUCAGAACCAGAUGUCUCAGGACUUGAUAUGCCAGUGCAGCUGACCUUGAGAGUUCACUAGCUUUACCUGCAACGCCUCGUCUGAUACUUCUUGGAGAAACAGGAAACCACUUCCAACGCUGGAUGCUCAGCAUUGAGGGCCAGAUUGUGGGCGAAGGGAUCCAGUCGACCUUUGUGACAGGGCUGGCGUCUUUUUUCUCCGGUUUUUAUAUCUUCAACCUACAGUACCAAGAGGAGGCAGCGUGCACACUUGAAUUCAUCCAGAGGUAAGACAUUGUCUGUUAACACCUGCAUUUGUUCUGGCCUAGCUGUGGCUCAAGCAUGGUUUCAGCAGGUCUGGUGAUGGGAUUUAGCAAUUAACUUUGCUUUAGAAAGUUUUAGUGCAACUUACAAUAUUCAUAGAUGCAUAGGAUAGUAUGUUGAGGAUAGUUCAUGGACAUUUGUUGUCUUGUUGUAGUGUUAGUCUGUGUGAAUUACUAGAUUUCCAACCCGUGUAUAAUUUUUCAGACGCUUUGUGGGUAUAAACCCAGAAAAGGGGACAAAGGCUGCAAAGGGGAAAAAAAGAACGGUAAAUUCACACAUCGCCAGCCUCUUGCGCAGACUGAUGGACUUCCAGUGGGAUUUCAUUUCAAAAAGUGGAGGUGUGUUCAGGUGCGUUCUGGGCAAUGUAGUGUAUUUUUCUGUGAUUGAUCCGAUCUAUAUGUGCCUACAUUUGUAAGUAUUUAACUUUCAGUGUUUCUAUUACAAUAAAAAAGUUAAUUUGAACAUGGAACUAUUCGUUUUCUUUCACUUAAGUGUUAUGUGAUGUAUUAUGCCUAUUCUUAUAAUAACUCAAGCUAGAAAUAUGUAUAUUACAAUCAAUGGUACACAUUACUAUGCUAAAAUAAUAAUCAAUACAUUUUAAAAGCAAUAUUUAAAGGAAACUAAAUAAAUGGUGAUUUAACAUGAAAAUAAUGGUAACCCUGCUGCCAGUAAAGUCCUGUUAAAAAACAUUACGGGUGUGCACUGUAAAAAAACAUUAACAGGAAUAAACCGUUAAA